rnacentral:rRNA from 1 species
AGCCUCAGGCAUCAUCUGAGGUCAAGCCUGCCCAAUGUAACAAAAUAUGAAUGGCCGCAGUACCCUGACUGUGCGAAGGUAGCGUAAUCAGUUGGCUUUUAAAUGGAGUCUAGUAUGAAAGGAAUAACGUGGUAAAGCUGUCUCUGUUUUGUUUUAUUGAACUUGCUAAGAAGGUGAAAAUUCCUUCGUUUAUGAAAAAAGACGAGAAGACCCUUAGAGUUUUUAUUAAUACUUAUUUUGUAGGUUAGAUUUUUGUUGGGGCGACAAGGAAACAUUAAAAAACUUUCCUUAAUAAUCUCUACCAGACGGCUUUUUCAAGCACGGUUAAACUACCUGAGGGAUAACAGCAUAAUUCUUUUUGAGUUUGUGACCUCGAUGUUGGACUAGGAACUUAACAGACUAGCCGUCUGUAUUUGUGGCUCUGUUCGAGCUUUUACUCCU